rnacentral:misc_RNA from 1 species
GUUUGAACCCUUCUCAAGAAUCUUUUCAGCAACACGCUCAACUCGGAGUAUUCUACCAACUGUUGGUACAAAAUUUCUAUGCCAUUUGAUGUCAAAUUUUUUGUCCAACUCAAUUCCAUCAUCAAUAAGUAAGACAGAGAUUUUUGCAGCUUUGAAGCAAACAGCAGUGCUAGACUCCAACCCCAAGCGCUGGCGAGAUUCUUGAACAGCAUGCAACGAUAAGCUUGAGCCAUAUAUUUCCGCGAUUUCUUUCAGGCUUCUCUUGAAGUUGAUGGCAUGUGGUACGUCGAAUAAGG